rnacentral:rRNA from 1 species
GACGAACCGUGCGAACGUUGUUCGGAAUCACUGGGCUUAAAGGGCGCGUAGGCGGGUCUCCAAGUCGGGGGUGAAAUCGUUCGGCCCAACCGGACAAGGGCUUCCGAUACUGGAGAUCUCGAGGGAGGUAGGGGUCGGGGGAACUUCCGGUGGAGCGGUGAAAUGCGUUGAUAUCGGAAGGAACGCCGGUGGCGAAAGCGCACGACUGGACCUCUCCUGACGCUGAGGCGCGAAAGCCAGGGGAGCAAACGGG